UACAGAGGGGGCAAGCGUUAUUCGGAAUUAUUGGGCGUAAAGGGCGCGUAGGCGGCCUGGCAAGUGGAAGGUGAAAUCCCUCGGCUUAACCGAGGAACUGCCCUCCAAACUGCUUGGCUUGAGUCCGGGAGAGGUGAGUGGAAUUCCCAGUGUAGCGGUGAAAUGCGUAGAUAUUGGGAAGAACACCGGUGGCGAAGGCGGCGACCUGGUUGAUAACUGACGCUGAGGCGCGAAAGCGUGGGGAGCAAACAGG
rnacentral:rRNA from 1 species